AUAUGUUGAUGGAAGAAUUCUAAAAAAAGUUAUCUUGAUGGGAUACUUGUCCUAUUUUCAUCCGUUGGUUUCGAAUUUCAAAAAUUUAUCUAUAUAUAAUAUAAGAGGAUAAAUUAUUUUUGGUGUGGACUUUUCAUAAUAUCAACAAUAUCCUUGAUUUUUUUUUAUCUUUUAUUAACAAACUUACACUAACAUAAGACAUGUAUUUUUUGUUAGCAGCAAAAAUCUUUUAUUAACAAGAAUACCUUUGAUUUUUUUAUUAGCAAAAAAAUCUUUUAUUAACAAAAUCACAAUAACAUAAGACACGUCUUUUUUUUGUUAGCAGCAAAAAAUUUUUAUUAACAAAUUCACCCUAACAUAAGCCAUUUUAUUUUUUAACAUAAGUUAGACACAGGCAGGCGCAGCCAGCUAGUAAACAUAAAUGUAAUAUUUUGCUUUAAUAAUUUAACAUAUCUCUUCUCAUAAGAAAAAACAAAUAAUUUAACUUUUAUUAUCUCAUAAAGUUUUUGUUGUUUUCUCUAGUCUUGGCUAAAUGAUAUCUUCUGUCUUCAUCAUGUGAUCUCUUUUAGGAAAAUAAAAUGUCGUUUUUUCAUCAUAUAUAUGAUCAUUAUUUCAAGUUUUAUCUUUUUGACAGCGAAGAAAGCCAAAGACCUAAAAAAAGAAAACUACAUUGAAAUCAAUUAAGAAGUGCUCAAGAUCAACUAAAAAUAAUAGUUGGAACCAAAAAAACAACUAACAAUAAUAGUACUAAUUUCCCAAAACAUAAUACUAAUUAUUAGUGAAGAAUUUUUUUAAUAAACAACUCUAGCUUUUUAUCUCCGUAUAUAGCAUGAAGAGACACGACAAGAUAAACAUAAUUUAACAUUGGCCUAAAGUCUACGCUCAAACCAAAAAAUCGAUGUUAACAACGAUUUAGCGUAGACUUUGCAUUAGUGUUGUGGCUCAGGCUAAAAGACUUGAAGCUAAUAACUUGCAUCGACUUUUUGAUGACCGAUGCUAUGUAGCGUCAACUCUGCCGACAUUACACCUGACGCUAAAGUCUAAUUAUGGAUGAUUGAUUUCUACUUAAUGUGUUGGCCAACUAACUUCAGAGUCAACACUUUCUUUAUUUUUUUUACAGAUUUGAACAUAUAGGGAGGUGGAUCGAAAAACUAUCUAAAUUUUGUUACUCUUUGUACCAUUAUUUAUUUUUGUUAUUGGUUAAAUACUAUUUUUCUAUGGAAUUAUCAAUUUUUAUUUCUCGUUCCCAUAAACAAAGUGAUGUUUUCUUGUUGUCCCUACAAAAUUUUCUUGCACUCUAUUUUAGUUUAUGUUGUUAAGUUAAUACAUACGCUCAAAUCCAAUAAGUUGAGCGUAUGAGAGUUCGAACAUCAGCUCAUACAUUUAUAAUAUACGUCCCUCAUAAAUAUAAUUCAGUUGGUAGUUACAAGAGAUAUUAUUGGAGUGACCGGAAGUCCAGUAAUUGAAUCUCGAAUUUCUCACUUCUCUAUAUUUUAAAGUGUAUGAGUCUAGUCACUAUACUAUUUGACAAAAAAAUGUUAAAUAAAUUUUUCGUCAUUAAAAGUAUAGUGAAUUUUGAUUUUAGUCUUUAAAAAUAAAAAUGAAAUGUUUUAGUCAUUCCAAAAUUUUCUGUUUUGUUUUUGGUCCCUAAUAACUAGUUAUGUUCAUUUUAAUGUUAAGGUUAAGAACCUUUUUAUGUUUGAUAUGUGUCUAUAUGUCAAUUCGUUAUGUCAAACUUCUAUUUUUUUUUUGGUAGAUAUCAUUAUGUCAAACUGUCAAACCUCUCUAUAUUCAGAUUAUGUUCUAGAAAUGUCAAAAUUACGUCUAUUAGGGACCGAAAACGAAUCAUAAAAUUUUAGGAGGAUAAAAACAUUUUGAUUUUAUUUUUAAGGACUAAAAUAAAAAUUUGCUAUAUUUUUAGAGACAAAAAAUAAUUUAACUAAAAAAAUUAUAAUCAACAAAAAUACACAAACAUGCAUAAUAAUGAGCUAGUUAUUUAUUUUAUAUU
rnacentral:lncRNA from 1 species